GAUGAACGCUGGCGGCGUGCCUAAUACAUGCAAGUCGAGCGAACAGAUGAGGAGCUUGCUCCUCUGACGUUAGCGGCGGACGGGUGAGUAACACGUGGAUAACCUACCUAUAAGACUGGGAUAACUUCGGGAAACCGGAGCUAAUACCGGAUAAUAUAUUGAACCGCAUGGUUCAAUAGUGAAAGACGGUUUUGCUGUCACUUAUAGAUGGAUCCGCGCUGCAUUAGCUAGUUGGUAAGGUAACGGCUUACCAAGGCGACGAUGCGUAGCCGACCUGAGAGGGUGAUCGGCCACACUGGAACUGAGACACGGUCCAGACUCCUACGGGAGGCAGCAGCAGGGAAUCUUCCGCAAUGGGCGAAAGCCUGACGGAGCAACGCCGCGUGAGUGAUGAAGGUCUUCGGAUCGUAAAACUCUGUUAUUAGGGAAGAACAAAUGUGUAAGUAACUAUGCACGUCUUGACGGUACCUAAUCAGAAAGCCACGGCUAACUACGUG
rnacentral:rRNA from 1 species